GCCAGUGUGCUUAGUGGUAUAUAUAAGUAUUGGAUUAGGACUCAGGAGACCCAGGUUCAAAUCCUUGCUCAGCCA